AGACGUCUUAUUUUUCCCUUCAGCUAUAAUAACCAUAAAACUAUUUCCUAGAAGUCUGCUGUCAAUUUAACACUAAUUAAGAAAAACCUUAACUUCUGCCCUUUUUUUCCUAGAUGAGAAUGAGGAUUUAAGGAAACUUGCAGAGAAUGAAAUAACUUUGUGUCAAAAAGAAAUAACUCAGCUGAAGCAUCAGAUUAUCUUACUUUUGGUUCCCUCAGAAGAAACAGAUGAAAAUGAUUUGAUCCUGGAAGUGGCCUUAGACAAGCAUCUGCCAGCAUUGGGGGUUCAGAAGCCUAUAGGCACAUGAAAUUUGAAGGAGGUGUUCACAGAGUACAAAGAGUACCAAAGACAGAAAAGCAAGGCCGCGUCCAUACUAGCACCAUGACUGUAGCAAUACUACCCCAGCCUACUGAGAUUAAUCUGGUGAUUAAUCCGAAAGAUUUGAGAAUUGACACUAAGCGAGCCAGUGGAGCUGGGGGACAGCAUGUAAAUACCACAGACAGUGCUGUCCGGAUAGUUCAUCUUCCAACAGGUGUUGUUUCUGAAUGUCAACAAGAGAGAUCUCAGCUGAAAAAUAAAGAGCUGGCUAUGACAAAGUUACGUGCAAAACUGUACAGCAUGCAUCUAGAAGAAGAAACAAAUAAGAGACAGAAUGCUAGAAAAAUUCAG
rnacentral:sRNA from 1 species